AUUGAACGCUGGCGGCAGGCCUAACACAUGCAAGUCGAGCGGAGCGGCGGACGGGUGAGUAAUGCCUAGGAAUCUGCCUGGUAGUGGGGGAUAACGUCCGUAAACGGGCGCUAAUACCGCAUACUAUCAGAUGAGCCUAUGUCGGAUUAGAUGGUUGGUGGGUGAAAGGCCUACCAAGGCGACGAUCCGGACCUGGUCUGAGAGGAUGAUCAGUGACACUGGAACUGUGACACGGUCCAGACCCCUACGAGAUGCCGCAGUGGGGAAUAUUGGACAAUGGGCAAAAGCCUGAUCCCGCCAUGCCGCGUGUGUGAAGAAGGUCUUCGGAUUGUAAAGCACUUUAAGUUGGGAGGCGUUACCAACAGAAUAAGCACCGGCUAACUUCGUGCUAGCCGCCGCGGUAAUUC
rnacentral:rRNA from 1 species